CCUACGGGUGGCAGCAGUCGAGAAUCAUUCACAAUGGGGGAAACCCUGAUGGUGCGACGCCGCGUGGGGGAAUGAAGGUCUUCGGAUUGUAAACUCCUGUCAUGUGGGAGCAAAUUAAAAAGAUAGUACCACAAGAGGAAGAGACGGCUAACUCUGUGCCAGCAGCCGCGGUAAUACAGAGGUCUCAAGCGUUGUUCGGAAUCACUGGGCGUAAAGCGUGCGUAGGCUGUUUCGUAAGUCGUGUGUGAAAGGCGCGGGCUCAACCCGCGGACGGCACAUGAUACUGCGAGACUAGAGUGAUGGAGGGGGAACCGGAAUUCUCGGUGUAGCAGUGAAAUGCGUAGAUAUCGAGAGGAACACACGUGGCGAAGGCGGGUUCCUGGACAUUAACUGACGCUGAGGCACGAAGGCCAGGGGAGCGAAAGGGAUUAGAUACCUCGGUAGUC
rnacentral:rRNA from 1 species